GUGAAUUUUACAAGAUGUGAAUGGACAUUUAAAUACAGAUCAUUGGUGUACUAGGCGUAAAUAAGCCCUGCAACUUGAGACAAUAAUGGCAUCUACAGAAAACUCUUUGAGGUCCUUGGAAACUUUGAUGUCAGAGUUUUUUGACAUCAGAACUACAAAUGAACGGAAAAGAGAAAUUGAGUCCUUGCUGAAUAAUUUUGCCCAGACAAAAGAUGCAUGGCGACACAGCUUGUUUUUCAUUAGCCACACUGGCAAUGAAUAUGUCAUCAUGUACUGUCUCAAUGUC